AGUUGACAGCCCACGGCGUAAAGGGUGGUUAAGGAAAACAAACAAAACUAAAGCUAAACACCCCUCCUGCUGUUAUACGCUCUCGGGGACAAAGAAAAUCAUCUACGAAAGUGGCUUUAACUCCUCCUGACUCCACGAAAGUUAUGAUACAAACUGGGAUUAGAUACCCCAUUAUGCCUAACUCUAAACAUUGAUAGCAAGCUACAUCCGCUAUCCGCCUGGGAACUACAAGCAUCAGCUUCAAACCCAAAGGACUUGGCGGUGCUUCAGAUCCCCCUAGAGGAGCCUGUUCUAGAACCGAUGAUCCCCGUUUAACCUCACCUCUAUCUUGUUCCUAUCCCGCCUAUAUAUCUCCGUCGCCAACUUACCCUGUGAAGGAUUUUGAAGUAAGUCAAACCGGUGGACACCCACCCCUAACGUCAGGUCGAGAUGUAGCUUAUGAAGAGGAAAGAAAUGGGCUACAUUCCCUGGUUACAGGGAAUACGAACGAUAGAUUGAAAUCUCUAUCUGAAGGUGGAUUUAGUAGUAAGCAGAAAAUAGAGCGUCCUGCUGAAACCGGCCCUGAAGCGCGCACACACCGCCCGUCACUCUCCCCAUGCAUAAACUUUUUAAACAUGAUUAACUUACUAC
rnacentral:rRNA from 1 species